rfam:Salmo salar isolate Sally breed double haploid chromosome ssa09, whole genome shotgun sequence.
AAUGCACCAAUUUGUAAGUCGCUCUGGAUAAGAGCGUCUGCUAAAUGUGUUAAA